UGGGGAAUCUUGCACAAUGGGGGCAACCCUGAUGCAGCGACGCCGCGUGAGCGAUGAAGCCCUUCGGGGCGUAAAGCUCUUUCGACCGGAACGAUAAUGACGGUACCGGGAGAAGAAGCUGCGGCUAACUACGUGCCAGCAGCCGCGGUAAUACGUAGGCAGCAAGCGUUGUUCGGAGUUACUGGGCGUAAAGAGUGCGUAGGCGGUUUUCUAAGUUCGGUGUGAAAUCUCCCGGCUUAACUGGGAGGGUGCGCCGAAGACUGGGGAGCUGGAGUGUGGGAAAGGCAGGCGGAAUUCCUGGUGUAGCGGUGAAAUGCGUAGAUAUCAGGAGGAACACCGGCGGUGUAGACGGCUUGCUAGACCAUAACUGACGCUGAGGCACGAAAGCGUGGGUAGCAAACA
rnacentral:rRNA from 1 species